GAUGAACGCUGGCGGCGUGCCUAAUACAUGCAAGUCGAGCGGCCGGACGAGAAGCGUGCGCCUUUGAGGUUAGCGGCGGACGGACGAGUAACACGUGGAUAACCUACCUAUAUUACUGGGAGAACAUCGGGAAACCGGAGAUAAUACUGCAUCAUAUGUCGAACGGCAUGGAUCAAGAGAUAAACACGGCCUUCCUGAUACUUAUAGCUGGAUCCGCGCUGCAUUAGCUAGUUGGUAAGGUAACGGCUUACCAAGGCAACGAUGCGUAGCCGACCUGAGAGGAUGAUCAGCCACACUGGAACUGAGACACGGUCCAGACUCCUACGGGAGGCAGCAGUAGGGAAUCUUGGACAAUGGGCGCAAGCCUGAUGGAGCAACGCCGCGUGAGUGAAGAAGGUCUUCGGAUCGUAAAGCUCUUUUAUUGGGAAAGAAAAGAUGUAUGUUUAAAUCUGCAUGUCUUGACGGUACCUAAUCAGAAAGCAACGGCUAACUUCGUG
rnacentral:rRNA from 1 species